GAUGAAGAACGUAUCGAAAUGCGAUAAGUAAUGCGAAUUGCAGAAUUUCCGUGAGUCAUCGAAUCUUUGAACGCACAUUGCGCCCCCUGGUAUUCCGGGGGGCAUGCCUGUUCGAGCGUCAUUUCACCACUCAAGCCUCGCUUGGUAUUGGGCAACGCGGUCCGCCGCGUGCCUCAAAUCGUCCGGCUGGGUCUUCUGUCCCCUAAGCGUUGUGGAAACUAUUCGCUAAAGGGUGUUCGGGAGGCUACGCCGUAAAACAACCCCAUUUCUAAGGUUGACCUCGGAUCAGGUAGGGAUACCCGCUGAACUUAAGCAUAUCAAUAAGCGGAGGA
rnacentral:misc_RNA from 1 species